rnacentral:rRNA from 1 species
GACGAACGCUGGCGGCGUGCUUAACACAUGCAAGUCGAACGGAAAGGCCCUGCUUUUGUGGGUUGCUCGAGUGGCGAACGGGUGAGUAACACGUGAGUAACCUGCCCUUGACUUUGGGAUAACUUCAGGAAACUGGGGCUAAUACCGGAUAGGAGCUCCUGCUCCAUGGUGGGGGUUGGAAAGUUUCGGCGGUUGGGGAUGGACUCGCGGCUUAUCAGCUUGUUGGUGGGGUAGUGGCUUACCAAGGCUUUGACGGGUAGCCGGCCUGAGAGGGGGACCGGCCACAUUGGGACUGAGAGACGGCCCAGAAUCCUACGGGAGGCAGCAGUGGGGAAUAUUGCACAAUGGGCGGAAGCCUGAGGCAGCAACGUCGGGUGCGGGAUGACGGCCUUCGGGGUGUAAACCGCUGUCGCCUGUGACGAAGCGUGAGUGACGGUAAUGGGUAAAGAAGCACCGGCUAACUACGUG